rfam:Schistosoma margrebowiei strain Zambia genome assembly, scaffold: SMRZ_scaffold0000907
AUCCAGCUGACGAGUCCCAAACAGGACGAAACACGCGUCCUGGAU